rnacentral:lncRNA from 1 species
AUCGUACAUAAGACUUUCAUCUCGUAUAACUCAAAACAAAAAAACACUAAAAUACUAGUUGCAAUGGAUAUAAUGAUGACUUUCGUUUUCACUGGUGCAACCCCUUCAAUGAUGGUAGCUGUCGUGCUCUUUUCUACAUCCGGGCACAUUUGUCACAACUGCCAAUACGAAAAUUGAUGACUAAAUUAGCCGUGCAGGUUUGGCCACAUGACACUCUCUUAAUCUUUGCUUGUAUUAUUAAAUUGGUAUGCACAAGUGUUAGAGAAAAAAUGAUAAAAAGUUUUUUGUUUUUUUGAGUUUCCGAAACAGAAACCAAUAUCUUAAGAAUUUUCGUGCACAGGACAGCCUUAUAAUCCUCUAUAUAGUAGGAAUAUUAAGUCGAGACUUUCCCUGCAGUUGCUGCCUCAAGAACAGCUUGAGCCACAACUACAGCCUGAUGACAUAUUCUUCAGAGAUGAAAACUGAAUCACGGGGAGAGAGUUUUUCAACUAAAU